AACGUUGAAAACAAAAACCGGGUAUUCAACGCAUCUCAUCUUUUCGGGGUUCAGCAAUUCAACUCAAAAUGGUGUAAAACAUCCCACAAUUAUGCCACAAGUAAAGUGCAGCGUUAAACUAGAAAAGGAACACGCCGGGAGCGAUGCAUCCGCCUCGCAGCAGCAACCCAAUCGGCGCAGGAUAAGCGUCCGGCUCAAGCGACCGAACCCACUGUUCGAAAUGUGGUUAGAAGAAAUGAUAGCCAAAGCGGAAGAAAAGAACACGAUGGGUAAGAUGGCGCUCCAGAAAGCCCUCACCUCCUUGCGGCGCUAUCCGCUUCCGCUGGCAACGGGCCGGGACUGUAUAGCGUUGAUGGAUUUCGGCAAAACGAUCUGCGAAAAUCUCGAUCGCAGGCUAAAGGCGUACCUUGCUAGCGGUGGGCGGGUAGUGUUCGAUCAUACGCCAGCAAUUGAGGCUCUCUUGAAUGAUGAGCAAGGAGAACAUUACCGGGAACUUACGCGCACAGUGCGGCAGGAACGAGUGGAAGAGGUUAUGGUGGUUGCCGAGGAAACAGAACCCAUCGAGGAAGCCAUGCCAAACGAUUCCAUUUUCGAUCACGUACCCGGUGCUGCGGCAGGAGGUGACGAGUUCGUUCGCAUAACGCACCCGAAAGCGAUCCUGCUGGUAGACACGUGUGAAACGAUCGGCAAAUCGAAAAGUGGUCUAGAUCGAACGCUACAGGAGCUGACGCAGUACGCCGUGGAGCACGAGGUACGGCGCUUGAGUGUGGGCGAUUUCGCGUGGAUUGUGCGGAACGAUUCGGGCAGGGAGUUUCUGCUGCCCUACGUAGUGGAACGCAAGCGCAUGGACGAUCUGGCCAGCAGCAUCAAAGAUGGCCGGUUUCACGAGCAAAAGUUUCGUCUGAUGCAGUGUGGUCUGCCAAAUGUAAUUUACCUGAUUGAGCAUCUCGGGAACAACCGGCAGGUCGGUGUACCGGAGGGAACGCUUACCCAAGCGGCAAUCAACACGUACGUGCAGGGGUUCACCGUAAAGUACACGGAAAACCAUCACCACACUGUCCUGUACCUUUCCGUGAUGACAAACUUUUUGAACAAUUCGCUUCAGAAUAAACUUUACCUCGACGUUACUAAUCGGCCCGCGACGGAGCACGCUUCCGAAUAUCGCUUCUCCAGUCAAACCGUUCCACUGUUUUCGUUUGAAUAUUUCUACAAACAAUCGUCCAAAACGCGCGACACCACCGUGCGGGACACGUUCAUGAAGCAGCUGCUGCAAAUUAAGUUGCUGACGAUCGAGAAGAUAAAUGCCAUCGUGGAGAAAUACCCAACGCCGCAGAGUCUGUUCCGCGCGUACGAACGGUGCCCGAGCGAGACGGAGCGUCAGCGCCUACUGAACCUACCGUACGGGCCGACGAAGCGUACGAUCGGCGACAAGCUGAGCAAAAUCAUCUACCAGCUGAUGAUGAGUGAACGGUAUACUUCGUGAGCCACCGGAGGUCGCUUGGGACACCCAGCGUAGAGGUAAGAUGGUCAUAUUGCUGCGUUUUGCUGAUGAGAUAGUUAGUGACAACUGUGCCUCAAACGUUUUCCACUCCGGUAUCCCGUUCUUGAGACUAUAGCAUAAACGGUUGGCAGUCAGUUAAUGUGAUAGGAUCUAAAUGUGAUAGCCUUGAAAAAACCGGAUAAUGCCCGGACAUUGAGUAUGGACCUCGUAGUUCCGUCAAUCUGUUAAUCCAGACUUAAUGCCUGCCGCAUCUACACCGUUAGCCACCUCCUGCCAUGCCCUGUCUCUCCUGGAGGACUUCUUCAAAGGAUGUUACAAAAUACAUCAUGCUGUUCCCUGUGUAUAACAUAGCCUUAGCUCUGCAAUGGGAUGGAUUCCGAAGCACAUCUGUAAGGGAUAUUACAGACUCUCUUCGACGACAUGUCGAACUGUUAGACUGGUAACAUGUAUCAUCACAUAUCCAAGCUUGAGUACACGAACUUUGAAACAUCCUCUUAGAAGGAUAGUGGCCCCUUGCCAAUCUGGAGACAUGUGGCUACCCCAAUUAACUGGUGUGGAUGAACGUCAGGUGUUCCGCGAAAUGGAAUCAACGAUAUCGGCCUUACGCUAUGCACGGCGAUCGACAUGGAUGUGAGGCUCCAGCUAUGAAUCAAGCAACCUGCAGAAUUAUUGUUCACCAGGCCAUGUCACGAUUACAUGCUGGUACGAUUUUGUGAGCAAACCAUCGAGAGAGAGUCGCUCGUUGAGGACUUCUUCAAAGGAUGUUACAAACUACAUCAUUCUGUUCCCUGUGUAUAAAAUUGUCUUAGCUCUGUAAUGGGACGGAUUCUGAAGCUCAUCUGUAAGAGAUGUUACAGAUUCUCUUCGACGAAACGUCGAAUUGCACGGCCUGGCAACAUGUAUCAUCACAUAUCCAAGCUUGUGUACACGAACUUGCUACAUCCUUCUAGAAGGAUAGUGGCCCAAUGCAAAUCUAGAGACAUGUGGUUACCCCAAUCAACUGGGGUGCAAAUGGGGGAUGCAAUCAACGAUAUACGCUAUCCACGGCGAUCAACAUGGACGUGAGGUUGCAGCUAGGAAUCGAGCAUCCUGCAGAAUUAUUGCUGUCGCAAAAGUGCUCGAAUUAUUCGUUUAUGAACUCUUGUUGGCUUCUGCCUGUAACAUUAGCCCUAAUCAGCACGAAUUCGUUCCCAGAAGGUUAACAACGACAAAUCUUGUGCAAAUACAAACCUACAGUCAUCAUCCUACUGAUGCGCAUUUCCAUGUAGAUGCCAUGUCUCAUGACAUAUUACUCUCCAAACUAGGUCCCAGGACAACUCUUAAAAUGAGCUCAUGGAACAUAUGCACUCUUAGCGGAACCGGAACUUUAAAACAGUAGGAUGAAGCCCAACUGCUUGACACGCUAAACAUCGACAUGGAUUGUGAGCAACGGGCGAAAUUAUUAGUUUCAAGGGCUAUAGAUGAUUGGUUAUGUACCCUACGCGCAUUUGAGGCAGAUUUUUCAACAUAAGCCGCACAAUCUGGCACGUCCCUCCAUAGGCAACUAGAAAAAAACGAUCGACGCUGACGACAGUCAAUUCACGAGUUAUUUACAAUACAGCGUAACCCCGCAACAAAGGCCGAAACAUGAUGGGUGUGAAGUGGUCCUCGGAACAAGAGCUAUCUUUGUUGCCCAGUGAGCCGAACGAAACGAACAAACGGUGAGGAAAAUCUGUGUAUAUCCUGCCUGCGGGAAAAUCAAGCAACCGACUGUAUGAAGAGCGUGGAGCGCGGCAUCGGGCAAGAAACGGCGGGGCAAACGGUGGCCACGGGCGCGAUGCUUUGCGCCAGCACUCCAUAGGCUGGUGGGCGUUGGUGUCUACUUCUGGCUGCAAUCAACAAUCUUCUGCGCUUCGGCCUGUGCAUUCCAAAUAGGGAGAGCGAAAGUUAUAUGCAUUUUGUACACGGUUUGUAUCAUGCAAUCGUUCGCUUCGGUUCGCUAACCGGGUUCGCCCACCCAUUCCCCAACCCUACCUGAAUCAUCCGGUAGAUGACGAGCAGCGAAUCAACCGGUGUUUUGCACGCGUCCUGCCCGAAGGUACUGCCGAGCGGAUUAAUUCCCAUCGCACCUUGCGACCGCUUGCCCCAGGCCGGUGUGAAGGUCAGCUGAAACGGCAUUUCUAUUAGUAGCUGCAGCUGGGGUGGUGCUAGGGCCCGCGAACCUGCCGGCCCGCGGUAAACAUCAUCCAACCAUCUGCGCUUACCUGAGCUUCGGUGAUCAACAUCAAAGAGGCACAAAUCAGCAGCACGGUGAACAGCUUCACGGUAUCCAUAUCGGCGCGGCACCGGCAAAGAUCUCGGCGGUAGAUUAAUUAGAAUUUUGUUAUUUGCUUUUUAAUGUUUGCCCGGGACGUUCGCUGGUUCCGGCGGUCGUUAGCGCUAGCUGUCGGCGGUUGAAUGGGCGCGCUGCGCGACGAUGUAGCGUUUCCGAUUGAAUGGUGCAGCGUGUCUGAAUUCUGCCUGCUCCUGGUGUGUGGUUUUUUAUACGUCAGCAUGGUCUUAGCGUCCUAGCGGGGCGAGUCCUUUUGUGAGCGUGGUCGGUUGUACGGUUUCCUUGAAGCCGCUGCAAUGCACUACUUCGCUGCACGAUCCGAGAUGAUGGCAAUGAGCCAAAAAGGGAGGAUUCUAAAAAAGAGAGAGAAAAAAAAUGCUUCCAGACGUUGUACGGAAGUAAUUAAAGAUCCGUUUUAGUUUGCACUUGCAGGAUGGCAUGACGUACGAUGAUGCUGACCGUGCUAUGCUCCGUUAGCGGGAGCAGUGGUAAAGAUGGGUAGGAAAAUCGUUAUGGCUCACGGCGUUUCGUAUUGCCUGAUGUGCGCCAAUAAUCAUGCAGUUAAACAUACACAAUCGAGGAAUACCUAGAUCUAGUUAAUGAAUAUGCUUUCAUAAUUCACACCGGUAUGGAUAGGUUAGCAAUGUUUAUAUGAAGCUAUGAUUGCUGUUUUGUUUGCACUGAAUAAAUAUAAUGGAAAAUUG